CCUACGGGUGGCUGCAGUGGGGAAUAUUGGACAAUGGGGGCAACUCUGAUCCAGCCAUGCCGCGUGUGUGAAGAAGGCCCUCGGGUUGUAAAGCACUUUCAGUGAGGAAGAACGCCUGGUGGUUAAUACCCAUCAGGAAAGACAUCACUCACAGAAGAAGCACCGGCUAACUCCGUGCCAGCAGCCGCGGUAAUACGGAGGGUGCGAGCGUUAAUCGGAAUUACUGGGCGUAAAGCGCGCGUAGGUGGCUUGAUAAGCCGGUUGUGAAAGCCCCGGGCUCAACCUGGGAACGGCAUCCGGAACUGUCAAGCUAGAGUGCAGGAGAGGAAGGUAGAAUUCCCGGUGUAGCGGUGAAAUGCGUAGAGAUCGGGAGGAAUACCAGUGGCGAAGGCGGCCUUCUGGACUGACACUGACACUGAGGUGCGAAAGCGUGGGUAGCAAACAGGAUUAGAUACCCUUGUAGUC
rnacentral:rRNA from 1 species